rnacentral:sRNA from 1 species
CCGGGUGAGGCGGCGAGGGCGGCCCGACGGGCGCGGGACGGGACGGGGCAGCGAGGGCGCCGGGAGCCGCGGCCCGGAGUCGGGGCGCUUCGCCCCGGGCCCCCCAGCAUGAAGACCCCGGCGGACACAGGGUUUGCCUUCCCGGAUUGGGCCUACAAGCCAGAGUCGUCCCCUGGCUCAAGGCAGAUCCAGCUGUGGCACUUUAUCCUGGAGCUGCUGCGGAAGGAGGAGUACCAGGGCGUCAUUGCCUGGCAGGGGGACUACGGGGAAUUCGUCAUCAAAGACCCUGAUGAGGUGGCCCGGCUGUGGGGCGUCCGCAAGUGCAAGCCCCAGAUGAAUUACGACAAGCUGAGCCGGGCCCUGCGGUGAGGACGGGCUGGGGACCCCUGAGCACAUGUGGAGUGCCCCCCCGGGGUUGCACAGCCCCUUGCCUGUGGGAACAAGCAUUGGGUCUGACCCCUGGCUUUGCCAAAUCCUAGCUGUGUGACCUUGGGCCACUCCCAGCCCUUCCCUGAGCCCCUUGGUAACACAGACGUAUCCUGAGGAGAGAUUACAGUCACCAGUGG